GGGCGCGUAGCUCAGCGGUAGAGCAUCUGACUUUUAAUCAGAGGGUCGCGGGUUCGAACCCCGCCGCGCUCACCA
rnacentral:tRNA from 1 species